rnacentral:rRNA from 1 species
AUUGAACGCUGGCGGAAUGCUUUACACAUGCAAGUCGAGCGGCAGCACGGGGGCAACCCUGGUGGCGAGCGGCGAACGGGUGAGUAAUACAUCGGAACAUGCCCAGUCGUGGGGGAUAACACUUCGAAAGAAGUGCUAAUACCGCAUACGUCCUGAGGGAGAAAGCGGGGGAUCGCAAGACCUCGCGCGAUUGGAGUGGCCGAUGUCAGAUUAGCUAGUUGGUGGGGUAAAGGCCUACCAAGGCAACGAUCUGUAGCUGGUCUGAGAGGAUGAUCAGCCACACUGGGACUGAGACACGGCCCAGACUCCUACGGGAGGCAGCAGUGGGGAAUGUUGGACAAUGGGGGCAACCCUGAUCCAGCCAUUCCGCGUGAGUGAAGAAGGCCUUCGGGUUGUAAAGCUCUUUCGGCAGGAACGAAACGGUGAGCUCUAACAUAGCUCGCUAAUGACGGUACCUGAAGAAGAAGCACCGGCUAACUACGUG